rnacentral:rRNA from 1 species
AAAACACUAGUGAACGCUGGCGGUAGGCCUAACACAUGCAAGUCGAACGGCAGCACAGUAAGAGCUUGCUCUUACGGGUGGCGAGUGGCGGACGGGUGAGGAAUGCAUCGGAAUCUACUCUGUCGUGGGGGAUAACGUAGGGAAACUUACGCUAAUACCGCAUACGACCUACGGGUGAAAGCAGGGGAUCUUCGGACCUUGCGCGAUUGAAUGAGCCGAUGCCCGAUUAGCUAGUUGGCGGGGUAAGAGCCCACCAAGGCGACGAUCGGUAGCUGGUCUGAGAGGAUGAUCAGCCACACUGGAACUGAGACACGGUCCAG